rnacentral:snRNA from 1 species
AUCACUUCUCGGUCUUUUGGCUAAGAUCAAGUGUAGUAUUUGUUCUUGUCAAUUUAAAAUGGUCAUAAAGACACAGAUUUUUUAAAAAGCAUUUACAAUUCUUGUGUAGUUAGUAUAUCAAUGAACAAAUGCAAAAGGUUG